GUCCCUGUAGUGCAUUAGAUAGCUCCUUGGACUUCUAAUCCUAAGUUCGUGGUUUCGAAUUCCACCUGGGAUU